CAGUUGAUAGUUUAGUUAAAAAAAUUUUAAUUUUGGAUAUUGAAGAAACACAUGUGUUUGACUGA
rnacentral:tRNA from 1 species